UCUCCGUUGGUGAACCAGCGGAGGGAUCAUUACAGGACUCGCAAUACUCCUUCACUCUGUUUACCCCACUACAAUCACUUUGCUUCAUCCUGUCUCCCGUCGACUGUAUGCCGUCUGCUGGGGUCUUUGCCCACGUCCUCGCCUCCCCUUUUUUACCAUACACUUUAUGUAACCAACGUAAUAUUAUCAAAACAUAAUAAAACUCAACACAACGGAUCUUUUGGCUCUCGCAUCGAUAAAGAACGCAGCAGAACGGCAGACCACACGUCUGAACUCCAC
rnacentral:misc_RNA from 1 species